GUUUUAGGCGAAAUUGGUGAAUGAGGAUAACAAAGAAAAGAUCUCUGUUACAGACAACCAUGUGGACAGAAGAACCUGCUCUCCAACAAUUUUAGGAGAUGAUGGGAUGAUCUCUGGCCCUGGCUGUAGGGCUAGAGGAAGGAGUUUGCAGACAUUAAAUGCUGCAGAAGUGUUGCAUGGAGCCACUGCUGAGAAUAUGACACCAGCUUAUGCAGGAGGAGAACUAAGUAUAACAGCCUCUUAUUUUUUUCCAUUUGCCGACAUUUACAAAAGUGACAUUGCCAAUACUCAGGAAAUUUUGGUUCAAAACCACAAGACAAAUGGCAUCCAUGGAACUAUAGUCAAAGAAUUAGAGUGGCAGCUAGUAUUGAAAAGAAGAAUGAAGAGGUUUGAAUCUAAUAGAUUCAGUCUCUCCUUUUAGAAGGGCCUCAAUGUCAAGUGAGCAGGUUCCAAGUCUCAGUUAGGUUUGGUCCAACUAUUUCAGAACUACUGAACUCUCUAAAAAGUACCCUACAUCCUGGUCAAUUGGCCAUGUAGUGCCACUUCAUGCCCAGUAACUCCAGGAAACACUAGGUUUGGCUUGGGAAUAAAUACAAUAAAGGGAAGGGAGGCAAAGCAUGUUACUCCUGCCAAAUUUACUGACAAUACCCAGUUUGACAAUAGAUGGAAUCAGGUUUUUAGGCACAAGUACAUUUCAUCAUUCUGGUUACGAGAAAAUGGGCAUGAUGAAACUGUGUACAAACUCACUUCAAAUGUACAUAUACCUAAGAGGGGUUGCACCCAUGACUUUUGCUACUGUGGUCUACCUGAAGAUGGUGCAGAAGUGUAUUUUUUGCUCCCAGCACUUUCAAAAAUUAGUUUCAGACUGUGUUCUUCAAGGGAAAACCAUACUUGAAGCCAAAGAAGCAAUAAAAUAGCUUAAAGGUGGCCUGUAAUGUAACAGUUUCCUAGAAUUUGCAAACUACAGACAAAAAUAUAACUAUUUUAUUGUUAUGAUGACGUAGUUAAUGUAUGGCCAUUUAUUAGAUACUCAUAGUAAACCCCAACAAACUAUGUUACAAGGAAAACAAAUUAUAAAUGUAGAUUGUGAACACCUGUGUGAUAAUUUUUCAAAUGUUUGCAGAUCAACCACCAAAAUCAGAGCAAAUAAAGGACAUAUGUUUGGAGUAUUGAAAGAAAAAGUAAUUUUGUCUAAAUUCUCAAUAAUCAAAAUGAUUUCCACAGUCUCUAAUUUAUAUCAGGACUGUGGUCUAGUGGCGCCCAGCGGACCCUGGCACCUUACUUUUACUCUUGGGCGACUCAAGAAUCUUAGUUUGUUCAUAAAAUGCAUAUGCUGGGCACCCUGGAUUUCACAGUUUCAGAGCACUGGGCUCCAUUCGAUUUUUCUUAGAGCACAGCCAUGAUAGAUAUAUACUAUUAUGAGUGACUCAAGUGGAAGCAAAUUACCAGUAGUGCAUUAAAUAUCUAAAUGAAAAGUUUAUAGUAAUAUAUAUAUAUAUAUAGAUAAUAUUAUAGAUAUAUUCAGGGACUACAAAGAUAAUUUACUAUUUUCAUUUUUUCGUUAAUAUACAGUAGUGCAUUGAAUAUCAAUACAAAGAGUUUUACAGGAAUAAUCUCUGAUCAUAUUAUAGAUAUAUUCAGAGAUAACAAAAAUAAUUUACUUUCUCAAUAUUUCAUUACCAUACAAAACAUUGCAUGCUGUAUGUGUUGCCAUCAAACAUUAUUAUUGUCUUAAAUGUUACAAUUACAACAGUUGAUCACAAAAUUUUUAAAAGAUAUAUGUAUACAAUUGUCUCUGAGUUCCCCUCAAAAGAGGACACACAAAUUUUGAGUUGAAUAUCAAAAAUAAUUGUAGCAAUGGGUACUUUGAAAAUGAAAAAUAAAAAAAAAAACAUGCUGCAGAUGAAAACAAGUAUAUUAAAAGUAUUGGACUAAAAGGAGUGAUUGUAGGUAGUGUUCAUUUCACACAUGCUGGGGCCAGUCAUGCUCAUUCCAGUAGCCAUAAUGCACUUAUCAAUUGAAAUCUGACCCCCCCCCCCCCCACCCCUGGCCAAGGUGGGAGAAUGUGGAGGAUUUUUAUAGUUUGUCCGUGGGGGUGGGGGAUUUCUCAGGAUUUGCUAUACACAUUACACGAGGUCAGGGAGAGGUGGGGAUUGGACUCGUGCCUAGUCUUAUCACGGUAAUUUGACUUCACGUGGUCACUGGAGUCGCUUGCUGGAUUUCGAUGAGCUGUGCUUUGCAGUUUUGUUUAGGCAUCCCAGAUUUGAAAUGUAAGUUUCAUGAUUAUUUUUCCUUUUAUUUCAUCAUUUAGAUUAAUCCUUUGGGAUUUUGCCUUGAGCUUUCAUAGUUCAUUGGCUGGAAAAUCUUACUGUUUUUUAAUCAAAGCUUCUCACACGAUGCAGAUACACGCUCUUCCACUUCUAGAGUUUAUUAAAACCAUGUGGUUUCUUAAGUGCUAGAUUUCCUCAUUCUUUAGGGUAAUAUAGCUCCUAGGAACUAUUUUAUAUUGUCUAUUUUAAUAUAACAUCAAUUUCCCCAUGUUUUGUCUUGCUACACA
rnacentral:lncRNA from 1 species